GUACAUUUCAAUGCUCAUUAAUGUAUGAAGCUCGAGUGAAAUAUGUUCCUUAGUAUGAAGAUCUUCAGCUAUUAUUUUUCCCUUUUGAAUCCCCACCUUGUCUUCCCUUCCUUUAGCUCUAAUGAACCUGCAGAUAAGAUGCUGGCCUCGUAGUAAUUAGGUGUUUGGAUUGUUUCAAUUUUGUAAUAACUGGACAUUGGGACUAACUUAUUUUUGUAAUAUCUGGACAUUUGGACUGCUGUUUUAGAUAUUUACAAUUAGUAGUAAUAUUAGCUAGUGGUAAAGUUAUUUCGAAUGUUGUUUUUCCGUUUUUUUUUCUUAGAAACGUUGAAUUUAGGAAAUGUUAGCUUGGUAAUCGUUCAAAGAUCAGAACACCUAGUAGAAUUUUAAUUCGUUUAAGUUUCAACAUAUUAGCAAUGCUUUGUUUCAGAUUUAUAAGUUGUAAUCAGAAUUAUAAUUGAAACUUGGAAGCUAAAUUCGUAUA
rnacentral:lncRNA from 1 species